rnacentral:tmRNA from 1 species
GGGGAUGUAAAGGUUUCGACGGGGAUCGUGAGCCUUAGCCAAGCGAGCAGAGGUGCGGAACCGCUUUAAAAUCCGCAAUUUAAAAUUAAACGACAACUAUUCAGUUGCAUUGGCAGCCUGAGUGCUGCCCGUUCUUACCGAGUGUACCGCAGCUCGGAUAAGGGCGUUUAAGGUGCGGUGAACGUAACGCAGGGGUGCUUUGACCUGCGUUAUGAACAAUUGAAGCUACCGAAAAGGUUAGCCUGCCUGUGGGCGAAGCUUCGGGGGAAUCUUAAAAUAUAGGCUACGCUCGUAGAAAGCAAGGGGAGUGGUUUUCGGACAGGAGUUCGAUUCUCCUCAUCUCCACCA